rnacentral:rRNA from 1 species
AACGUAGGUACCGAGCGUUAUCCGGAUUUACUGGGCGUAAAGCGCGUUCAGGCGGCUUAGCAAGUCGGGCAUGAAAUCUCUCGGCUCAACCGGGAGGGCUGUCCGAUACUGCUGGGCUUGAGGGCAGUAGAGGUGGUGGAAUUCCGGGUGUAGUGGUGAAAUGCGUAGAUAUCCGGAGGAACACCAGUGGCGAAAGCGGCCACCUGGACUGUACCUGACGCCUCCAACGCGAAAGCUAGGGGAGCGAACGGG